rnacentral:rRNA from 1 species
GACGGUACCUGCAGAAAAAGCGCCGGCUAACUACGUGCCAGCAGCCGCGGUAAUACGUAGGGCGCAGCGUUAUCCGGAAUUAUUGGGCGUAAAGAGCUCGUAGGCGGUUUGUCGCGUCUGCUGUGAAAUCCGGAGGCUCAACCUCCGGCCUGCAGUGGGUACGGGCAGACUAGAGUGCGGUAGGGGAGAUUGGAAUUCCUGGUGUAGCGGUGGAAUGCGCAGAUAUCAGGAGGAACACCGAUGGCGAAGGCAGAUCUCUGGGCCGUAACUGACGCUGAGGAGCGAAAGGGUGGGGAGCAAACAGGCUUAGAUACCCUGGUAGUCCACCCCGUAAACGUUGGGAACUAGUUGUGGGGUCCAUUCCACGGAUUCCGUGACGCACUAACGCAUUAAGUUCCCCGCCUGGGGAGUACGGCCGCAAGGCUAAAACUC